CCUCGGGGCUCCCUGCUGCUGCGGGAGGCGCCCCGCCUCCGCCUGCGAGGUCACCCCGAGGGCACCCCGGGCGCCCGAGCCUCGAACCCCUUGCAGAAGUGGGGGGGAGGGGAGGACGGGGUGCUUGGGCAGAUGCUCUGAUUGCACAAGCGCCCCGGUGACGUCAGCUUCACUCCAGGUGGGACCUGGGGUUGCAGGUGGCUGAGCGGGAGCCCGGGCGGGAGGACCGGCCGCCUCUCUGAGAUGCUAAGCAGGUGGUUCGGGGUCGCCGGGGGAGCUCAGCUCCGGGCUGUCAUCACUUGAACAGUGCCUCCUGCCCUAGGUGGUGAACCCUUGAUCUGCAGAAAAGUUCAGGCUCUCUGGGACUUCAAUGAAUUUCUCGUGGUGUGACAUGUUCUUUACAAUAACAUCAGUGAGCAGGAAGGGAAUACAUAGAAGGCAGAAGAAGGACGUAAUCUCUACCCUCAUGGAAGUUAUAACCCAGUGGAGAAGACAGACAAAAAGAAUGUAAAGAAGCAAAUGAGUAAUAAUAACUGUACAAUUAUGACAAUUUUCAUGAAUGAAACAAACAAGGAGAUGAGAAUAAGCAUAGAGGAGACCUGCUAUUAGAAUGGGCAGAGUGGACUCUCUGAAGAAGUGACAACUGACAGAGUGAUGAAAAGAAAUAAGCCUUGUGGGAAUAUUCAAAGGAAGACUAUUCUGAGUGAAGAGAAUGUGCUGAAGUCCUGAGGUGAGGAAAUCUUGCUAACCUUUGUGACUGGAUGAAAAUGAACACAGGAGACAGUGUUGUGAGAUUAAGAGAGAGAAACACAGUAACUAAAUGAUACAAGAUCUUAAAGUCCUGAAAAAGAAUUUAGAUAUUAUUCUAGAUAGAGUUGGAAGUCAUGGAAUUGUUUUUAAGCAAAUGAUUAAUAUAAUCUGACUUAUUUUUCUGCCAUUACUUUUGCUACUAAGUAGAAAAAUGGAAUUACAUGUACAGAAAGAAGAGGAAAGCUCUCACUAAAGACACCACCAACCUAAAUUCCGUCCCACCUGACAGUUAUUACCUGAAACUCCUUUAAUAGGGAACAAUUUCCUCCACAAAUGGCAUUAGAAUAAUUGCAAAAAAUGACAAUGCUUAAGGAAGGAGGGAAAAUAACCUACUAAAUUCCUGGGAGCAUAUUAGAUUACUCCUAAAUUAUCCAUGUAUUAUUUUCACGUAAAAUGCAAUGUGAAUAUUUUUCUAAAAUAACGUAGAAGAAAGCGAGAUUCAAAAAGAAGGUGACCACAUAAGUAUCUCUUGUCCCAGAGGAAUGAACAUAUUUGGGCUUUUAGUGACUGCUAUGUAUAUUACCUGACAGAGAAUUGAUUGAUUCCUAAACAGUUGACUGAAAAUGAAUUUUCUAAUUAGAUCCCAUUUUGCCCUGGUUUCUGUUUUUAAAUUAAAAAAAAAAAAUUGUUCUAAUGGUUUAUCAGCUCGAGUACUGGAAUAGCAACAUAGAUUUGGUCACUUGGAAUCUAAUUAUCCUAAAACUAUUCUUGUUACCAAGAGAUUAGAAAUGGGUGAUCACUUGGGUUUAUUGUGGGUAAUUAAAACAUCUGGAUAACUAUGGAUAUUCCCCUCCCCAUUUAAUUAGAAAUGUUUAGCAUUGUGUUAGAUUAAUAACCUCAGAAUCUUCUGGAAAAAAAAAAUCUGGGAUUGAGAUUUUCCUAAUACUAUAUGCUACUCACAA